UGGAAUGUAGGUCAGUUGUAGAGCAUAUACUUAGCAAGUGUGAGGUCCUGGGUUCCAUUCCCAGCAUCAA
rnacentral:tRNA from 1 species